rnacentral:rRNA from 1 species
UACGAAGGGGGCUAGCGUUGCUCGGAAUCACUGGGCGUAAAGGGCGCGUAGGCGGCGUUUUAAGUCGGGGGUGAAAGCCUGUGGCUCAACCACAGAAUGGCCUUCGAUACUGGGACGCUUGAGUAUGGUAGAGGUUGGUGGAACUGCGAGUGUAGAGGUGAAAUUCGUAGAUAUUCGCAAGAACACCGGUGGCGAAGGCGGCUCUCUGGACCGAGACUGACGCUGAGGCGCGAAAGCGUGGGGAGCAAACAGG